rnacentral:rRNA from 1 species
GACGAACGCUGGCGGCGCGCUUAACACAUGCAAGUCGAGCGAGAACCAGUCCUCCGGGGCUGGGGACAGCGGCGAACGGGUGAGUAACACGUGGGUAAUCUGCCCUCGGCACCGGAAUAGCCCGGGGAAACCCGGAUUAAUGCCGGAUGGCCUCUCUGCCCCUCGGGGCGGCGAGAAAAGGUAGCUUCGGCCUCUGGCCGAGGAUGAGCCCGCGGCCGAUUAGCUUGUUGGUGAGGUAACGGCUCACCAAGGCGACGAUCGGUAGCUGGUCUGAGAGGACGCUAGGCCACACUGGGACUGAGACACGGCCCAGACUCCUACGGGAGGCAGCAGUGGGGAAUCUUGCGCAAUGGGCGAAAGCCUGGCGCAGCGACGCCGCGUGCGGGAAGAAGGCCUUCGGGUUGUAAACCGCUUUCAGGGGGGACGAAGCCACUCGGGUGAAUAGCCUAGAGGGUGACGGUACCUCCAGAAGAAGCCCCGGCUAACUACGUGCCAGCAGCCGCCGUAAAAC